AGGUUCUUUUGUCGCAAUAGAACUGGUCUAUCAUAAUAGGUGUUUGAACUUCGGAGACUUGUAUGUUUGAGAACCUUAUGUCUUGAACCAGUCCUAUACCACCCUGCAAGGAGAAUUCAAUUGGUUUAGCUCAGUAGGUGUAUUCCGUCGGUGUUGAGACUGUUCUCAGGGGAGGAUAUUGUCAGGUCGUGGACCAGCACCCCUUGACAGUUGUCAAACUUGAGAUGGCACUGUGAGCUGUUGACAAUUGUGAUGCCAGCCACUACGACAUUUGAAGAACCAUAGAACCUCAAUGCCUGCAUCAGAGUUUAACCCGUGGCAUCCUUUCAAGCUCCUGAUUGUACUGCUGGAAUGUAUCCAAGGAAUGAAGCAUACGAUUUAUUCACGAGCAGAUUUUGUGGGGAAACAAAACGGCCGUUCUCCUUUAUAUAUAUCCUUCCCUGUGGUCCAAGAGAUCACGUGCAAUUAGAGCGCUAGUAUGUCCAGUUUGGCAGCUAAUCCAAGAUCCAUAUGCAUUAUGGAGGAUACCAAGCUCUAAGAAACAAGGAGGGAAGCAAGUAAAAAAAAAGUCAUCUCAGGCAAGCCUAACAGCUCAUUUGCUUUGCAGAAUUUAGUCAGUUUACCCAGAUGGCUAUGAAUGUGCUUUACCCGGCAUCCUCGGCGGUUUUGCCCCCGUGUUCAAUGAUAGACAUGGUUGUCCGUACGUUUAGGCCUCUUUUGGUUCAUAGGAUAGGAUUAUCAUAGGAAUAGGAAUCUUGUAGGAAAUGAGAUGACAUGUAUCUCAAAUCCUAUGAGUAGGAAUAGGAAACAAGAUGUCAUUUGAUUGACACCAAAGAAAUUUUUCCAGAGUCUAGGCUCUUUUUUAUUUUUCUAUGAAAUGUGGAGGAUAGGAACCAAUCCUAUGUAGGAAUUGAAAUCC